AUUGAACGCUGGCGGCAUGCCUUACACAUGCAAGUCGAACGGCAGCGCGGGAGCAAUCCUGGCGGCUAGUGGCGAACGGGUGAGUAAUAUAUCGGAACGUGCCCAGUAGUGGGGGAUAGCCCGGCGAAAGCCGGAUUAAUACCGCAUACGACCCACGGGGGAAAGGGGGGGAUCGCAAGACCUCUCGCUAUUGGAGCGGCCGAUAUCAGAUUAGGUAGUUGGUGGGGUAAAGGCCGACCAAGCCUGCGAUCUGUAGUUGGUCUGAGAGGACGACCAGCCACACUGGGACUGAGACACGGCCCAGACUCCUACGGGAGGCAGCAGUGGGGAAUUUUGGACAAUGGGCGCAAGCCUGAUCCAGCAAUGCCGCGUGCAGGAAGAAGGCCUUCGGGUUGUAAACUGCUUUUGUCAGGGAAGAAAUCCUCUGGGUUAAUACCUCGGGGGGAUGACGGUACCUGAAGAAUAAGCACCGGCUAACUACGUGCCAGCCGCCGCUGUAAUAC
rnacentral:rRNA from 1 species